GUGAUAGUCCCGUAUGCGAAAAACAAACCUUAGCUAGCAGUAUCCUGAGUAGGGCGGGACACGAGAAAUCCUGUCUGAAGCUGGGUCGACCACGAUCCAACCCUAAAUACUAAUACCAGAUCGAUAGUGCACAAGUACCGUGAGGGAAAGGUGAAAAGAACUGAGGUGAUCAGAGUGAAAUAGAACCUGAAACCAUUUGCUUACAAUCAUUCAGAGCCCUAUGUAGCAAUACAGGGUGAUGGACUGCCUUUUGCAUAAUGAGCCUGCGAGUUGUGGUGUCUGGCAAGGUUAAGCAAACGCGAAGCCGUAGCGAAAGCGAGUCUGAAUAGGGCGCUUAGUCAGAUGCUGCAGACCCGAAACGAAGUGAUCUAUCCAUGAGCAAGUUGAAGCUAGUGUAAGAACUAGUGGAGGACUGAACCCAUAGGCGUUGAAAAGCCCCGGGAUGACUUGUGGAUAGGGGUGAAAGGCCAAUCAAACUUCGUGAUAGCUGGUUCUCUCCGAAAUAUAUUUAGGUAUAGCGUUGUGUCGUAAUAUAAGGGGGUAGAGCACUGAAUGGGCUAGGGCAUACACCAAUGUACCAAACCCUAUCAAACUCCGAAUACCUUAUAUGUAAUCACAGCAGUCAGGCGGCGAGUGAUAAAAUCCGUCGUCAAGAGGGAAACAACCCAGACUACCAGCUAAGGUCCCUAAAUCUUACUUAAGUGGAAAACGAUGUGAAGUUACUUAAACAACCAGGAGGUUGGCUUAGAAGCAGCCAUCCUUUAAAGAAAGCGUAAUAGCUCACUGGUCUAGUGAUUUUGCGCGGAAAAUAUAACGGGGCUAAAGUAAGUACCGAAGCUGUAGACUUGCGCACAACUUAGAUUAUUUAAGUUUAGAAUAUGAGAAACUAAGUUAUAUGUUUAGUUAUAUUUUUACUGAUUUUUAUAGAGUAAAGAUAGAAAUAAAACUUAGUAAAAUCAGUAAAAAUAUUCUUAGACUAAAGUUAAGUAGUUUAAGUUGUGUGCAAGUGGUAGGAGAGCGUUCUAUUUGCGUCGAAGGUAUACCGGUAAGGAGUGCUGGAGCGAAUAGAAGUGAGCAUGCAGGCAUGAGUAGCGAUAAUUAAUGUGAGAAUCAUUAACGCCGUAAACCCAAGGUUUCCUACGCGAUGCUCGUCAUCGUAGGGUUAGUCGGGUCCUAAGUCGAGUCCGAAAGGGGUAGACGAUGGCAAAUUGGUUAAUAUUCCAAUACCAACAUUAGUGUGCGAUGGAAGGACGCUUAGGGCUAAGGGGGCUAGCGGAUGGAAGUGCUAGUCUAAGGUCGUAGGAGGUUAUACAGGCAAAUCCGUAUAACAAUACUCCGAGAACUGAAAGGCUUUUUGAAGUCUUCGGAUGGAUAGAAGAACCCCUGAUGCCGUCGAGCCAAGAAAAGUUUCUAAGUUUAGCUAAUGUUGCCCGUACCGUAAACCGACACAGGUGGGUGGGAUGAGUAUUCUAAGGCGCGUGGAAGAACUCUCUUUAAGGAACUCUGCAAAAUAGCACCGUAUCUUCGGUAUAAGGUGUGGUUCGCUUCGUAUUAGGAUUUACUCCGAAAGCGAAGAAACUUACAACAAAGAGUCCCUCCCGACUGUUUACCAAAAACACAGCACUCUGCUAACUCGUAAGAGGAUGUAUAGGGUGUGACGCCUGCCCGGUGCUCGAAGGUUAAUUGAUGGGGUUAGCAUUAGCGAAGCUCUUGAUCGAAGCCCGAGUAAACGGCGGCCGUAACUAUAACGGUCCUAAGGUAGCGAAAUUCCUUGUCGGUUAAAUACCGACCUGCAUGAAUGGCGUAACGAGAUGGGAGCUGUCUCAAAGAGGGAUCCAGUGAAAUUGUAGUGGAGGUGAAAAUUCCUCCUACCCGCGGCAAGACGGAAAGACCCCGUGGACCUUUACUACAGCUUGACACUGCUAUUUGGAUAAGAAUGUGCAGGAUAGGUGGGAGGCUUUGAGUAUAUGACGCCAGUUGUAUAUGAGCCAUUGUUGAGAUACCACUCUUUCUUAUUUGGGUAGCUAACCAGCUUGAGUUAUCCUCAAGUGGGACAAUGUCUGGUGGGUAGUUUGACUGGGGCGGUCGCCUCCCAAAUAAUAACGGAGGCUUACAAAGGUUGGCUCAGAACGGUUGGAAAUCGUUCGUAGAGUAUAAAGGUAUAAGCCAGCUUAACUGCAAGACAUACAAGUCAAGCAGAGACGAAAGUCGGUCUUAGUGAUCCGGUGGUUCUGUGUGGAAGGGCCAUCGCUCAAAGGAUAAAAGGUACCCCGGGGAUAACAGGCUGAUCUCCCCCAAGAGCUCACAUCGACGGGGAGGUUUGGCACCUCGAUGUCGGCUCAUCGCAUCCUGGGGCUGGAGCAGGUCCCAAGGGUAUGGCUGUUCGCCAUUUAAAGCGGUACGCGAGCUGGGUUCAGAACGUCGUGAGACAGUUCGGUCCCUAUCUG
rnacentral:rRNA from 1 species